CAAGCUUUAUGCUAUCUAAACGAUUUUCUCAAAUACAUUUGUGUGCGAGUCUUGAGUAAAGGUGAAAAAUAAAGAGUACACGGUUUUGCUGUCAAGUCAAGGUGCCAUGACAACAGCAGAAACUUGUCUUGACUUCAGACCAACAGCAACACCAUGCCCUGUCUUCAUACCACUAACAGCACAUGGACCACAGUGGCCUUGGGUGCAGCUGGUUUUCUUUUCGCUGCUUUGACACUGGUCUAUGUUCUCGUUCACACAAGAGGCACACACUACCAGGCAGACGGCGUG